rnacentral:pre_miRNA from 1 species
AGUGGUAUUUCUAGAUCAUUUUGUGGCUCUAUGUUUAACUAUUUGAGGAACUACCAAACUGUUUUCCAAAGUAACUAUAUACCAUUUUAUAUUCCCAAUAGAAGU